rnacentral:rRNA from 1 species
UACCGCGGUUAUACGAGAGGCCCAAGUUGAUAUGCACCGGCGUAAAGAGUGGUUAGGAUAACAAGAAGACACUAAAGCCGAACGCCUUCAGAGCUGUUAUACGCAUCCGAAGGUAAGAAGUUCAAUUACGAAAGUAGCUUUACCCCUCUGAACCCACGAAAGCCAAGGCA